CCUACGGGAGGCAGCAGUGGGGAAUAUUGGACAAUGGGGGGAACCCUGAUCCAGCCAUGCCGCGUGUGUGAAGAAGGCCUUUUGGUUGUAAAGCACUUUAAGCGAGGAGGAGGCUACUGAGACUAAUACUCUUGGAUAGUGGACGUUACUCGCAGAAUAAGCACCGGCUAACUCUGUGCCAGCAGCCGCGGUAAU
rnacentral:rRNA from 1 species